GACGAACGCUGGCGGCGUGCUUAACACAUGCAAGUCGAACGGAAAGGCCUCUUUCGGGGGGUACUCGAGUGGCGAACGGGUGAGUAACACGUGAGUAACCUGCCCUUGACUUUGGGAUAACUUCAGGAAACUGGGGCUAAUACCGGAUAGGAGCUCCUGCUGCAUGGUGGGGGUUGGAAAGUUUCGGCGGUUGGGGAUGGACUCGCGGCUUAUCAGCUUGUUGGUGGGGUAGUGGCUUACCAAGGCUUUGACGGGUAGCCGGCCUGAGAGGGUGACCGGCCACAUUGGGACUGAGAUACGGCCCAGACUCCUACGGGAGGCAGCAGUGGGGAAUAUUGCACAAUGGGUGGAAGCCCGAUGCAGCAACGCCGUGUGCGGGAGGACGGCCUUCGGGUUGUAAACCGCUUUCGCUCAUGACGAAGCUUUGUGUGACGGUAGUGGGUAAAGAAGCACCGGCUAACUACGUG
rnacentral:rRNA from 1 species